GGGUCCCGGGCGGCCCCCCGGGCGUCUCGGCCCGGCGGCGGCGGCAUCGGCAUUCCGGCGGCGCGGGCGGCCGCUGUCCUCGCACGACCCCGGCCCGUCCAGAGCGCGCCCCGCUACGACCCUCGGGGAAACUACGGUCCCUUUUGCAGCACUGGGGCCGGCCAGCCGGGGUUUAUGCCCCGUGUCCGAGUCUCUGUGGUGGGAAUAGACCCAUUCAGACAAGGCCUAACAGAUACGUGGGGCCAGCCCACCCCCCAGCCAGGGAGGACACAGUAAAGGAAUUCAAAGCGAUGAUUACCCUUCCAGAAUGCCCCUGUUGACAUUUUCCAAAAUGAAGUCACGCCCGCAGCCCGAAAGAACCCGCAGAGGAAGAGGUCCGGCUCUGACCUCAGAGAGCCAGCAACUCGUGGAAACAGCCAGAUGCCAUUCUGAGCCAAGCCCAGCGGGGCUGCUGCCGGGCCAACCCAGGUCAUCCAUCCGAGUGACCACAAAACAACGAAGCCCAUCUUCCCCUGCACCAUUACUGGCCUAGAGAAGGUUCCAGAAGAGAGGCUGCAAACCUGUUUCCAGUGAAAGUGGCACCGCCGGGUAAGGAGACACCCUCCGGGGGGAC
rnacentral:lncRNA from 1 species